GUCAAGUAGUUUUGUGGGUAGAAAUUUGACCUUUAACAUGAAUAAAUGAAGUUUUGCGGCGACGUGAAGGGAUAGAGGAUGACACAUUUGAUUUUUAUAUUGGUUCACCUUUAACGAGGCUACUCCAAUCCACUCCACCUGAGUGAGUUUGCCUUCCACCUCAAAGACUUAAUCCAAUAAUCUAAAAAUAUUACAACAACCAAGACACUGACUACCUGUCAAUGACUCCUUGAGAAUUCUGACUUCAACAAGUCCCCGAAGAAGAUUUUCAACCCUUAAUCUAGAGAGAUUAAUCAAAGCCCUUUGUGUUACAGUUUUCUUCUUAGUAAGCAGAUUACACAAAUGAUUUUUUGAGCCCUUGAUACUUAGUAUUUUUUCCUAAGUAUUCUAUACAAAAGAUUUACAAAGAAUGAAAGAACUUGUAUGUGCAAGUAUGUAAUGCUUGUUGAAAAUUGAUGGCAAAGAUCUUCUUCCAACGUCUCUUUUGAUCAUUGACUUUAGUUGAAAAUUAUCUUUGAAGCUUAGUCAAGUCAUUGGUCGUUUCCUGUUGUCUGAGAUUACUUGGAUUAAUAACUGAACAUCUCGCAUAGAGUCUGAAAUUCAACACUAGUGACAUAACUCAAACUUCACUCAUUCAGAGUCUUCAUUUACUUCAGAGUCGGAAUCUCACUUUGUUCAGUGUCCUUUAUGUGAGGCCUUCUAGAAUCUUCGGAUCCAACUUACACUAAUUUUCUGCACAUUUAACAAACACUUUAGUGCAUAAAAUUGUUCUCUCAUAUUUUGUUAUCAUCAAAACUCCUGAGUUAGAUAGUUGCAGAACCAACCUUGUUCCAACAAAAAUUGUACUAAGAGAAAACCCCUUUGUUCACUCUCUUAUUUUUCUAUGAAUAAAUCAGAGUCUAUUUAUUGAAAAAU
rnacentral:lncRNA from 1 species